UUGACUCUACGACAGUUCUGCAAUGCUUGACAGGUUCAAAGAAUGGCAGCAUCCGCGGUAGAAGAUUGGUGCAAAAGAUUCGGGAGUUAAUCGAGCAACAAAUUGAAAUUCAAUUCAAGCAUGUAUAUAGAGAAGCAAAUCGGGUUGCGGACUAGUUAACAAACCUUGGAUGCAAUCUGGCCAAGGGAAGUACUUUGUUUGAGUUUUCACUUAGAGAAGUGC
rnacentral:lncRNA from 1 species